AUACUGACCUGGCAGGAAAGAUACCAUGCUCAUGGAAGGUGGUUUCCUUAGGUUGGAGCUUAUCCAGUGUACUCCAUAUGUUCUAACCCCUGUAAUUUCUCCCAAUAUGGAAAACUGCUCUGUAUAAUUGGUGGUAGUGGGAGAUGGAGUUUACACUUUCCCUAA